AGAGUUUGAUCCUGGCUCAGGACGAACGUUGGCGGUGCGCUUAAUGCAUGCAAGUCGAGGGAGAACCUUUCGAUCCGUAAGGACCGAAUGGGGAAACCGGCGAACGGGUGCGUAACACGUGAGGAACCUGCCCCGAAGACCGGGAUAGCCCGAGGAAACUCGGAUUAAUACCGGAUACCCUCCUCGGACCACAUGGUCUGUUGAGGAAAUGGUCCGCCGCUUCGGGAUGGCCUCGCGGCCUAUCAGCUUGUUGGUGAGGUAAUGGCUCACCAAGGCAAAGACGGGUAGCUGGUCUGAGAGGACGAUCAGCCACACUGGGACUGAGACACGGCCCAGACUCCUACGGGAGGCAGCAGCAGGGAAUAUUGCACAAUGGGCGAAAGCCUGAUGCAGCGACACCGCGUGCGGGAUGAAGGCCCUCGGGUUGUAAACCGCUUUCAGGAGGGACGAAAAUGACGGUACCUCCAGAAGAAGGCCCGGCCAACUACGUGCCAGCAGCCGCGGUAAUACGUAGGGGCCAAACGUUGUCCGGAUUUAUUGGGCGUAAAGGGCUCGUAGGCGGUUCAACAAGUCGAUCGUGAAAGCCCGGGGCUCAACCCCGGGACGCCGGUCGAAACUGUUGUGACUAGGGUCCGGUAGAGGUGAGUGGAAUUCUCGGUGUAGCGGUGGAAUGCGCAGAUAUCGAGAGGAACACCAGUU
rnacentral:rRNA from 1 species